AAUAUUACAAACAUAAUUCCAUUUUUUUCUUCCUCUUAUCCUUCUAUUUUUUCUUCCUCUUAUCCUUCUAUUUUUUCAUUCCUUUUUUUUCUUUUCUAUUUUCUUUUUCUAUUUUUUUUUCUUUUUCUGCCAUCUUCUGAAAUAUUACAAACAUAAUUAUUCAACCCCACACAACUCCAAACAAGACUCUUUCAACCCUUUGAAUAGGGUGAUAAUAUUGUUUUUCACUUCUCGGCUUGAAACAUAAUUAUUCAACCCCACACAACUCCAAACAAGACUCUUUCAACCCUUUGAAUAGGGUGAUAAUAUUGUUUUUCACUUCUCGGCUUGUAAUGAGUUUUAAACAAAAAAGGGAGAAUAGGCUC
rnacentral:lncRNA from 1 species